UACGGAGGGGGCGAGCGUUAUUCGGAAUUAUUGGGCGUAAAGGGCGCGUAGGCGGUCUUGCAAGUCAAAUGUGAAAUCCCUCGGCUCAACUGAGGAACUGCCUUUGAAACUGCACGGCUUGAGGCCGGGAGGGGGUAGCGGAAUUCCCAGUGUAGCGGUGAAAUGCGUAGAUAUUGGGAGGAACACCAGUGGCGAAGGCGGCUACCUGGACCGGUUCUGACGCUGAUGCGCGAAAGCGUGGGUAGCAAACAGG
rnacentral:rRNA from 1 species